UACAGAGGUCUCAAGCGUUUGUUCGGAUUCAUUGGGCGUAAAGGGUGCGUAGGCGGCGCGGUAAGUCGGGUGUGAAAUCUCGGAGCUUAACUCCGAAACUGCAUUCGAUACUGCCGUGCUUGAGGACUGGAGAGGAGACUGGAAUUUACGGUGUAGCGGUGAAAUGCGUAGAUAUCGUAAGGAAGACCAGUGGCGAAGGCGGGUCUCUGGACAGUUCCUGACGCUGAGGCACGAAGGUCAGGGGGAGCAAACGGGG
rnacentral:rRNA from 1 species